UUUUACGAAGUUAAUUAUUAUAUUUUUGAGAAAUAUAUAGAGGGUAAUGAGGUAAAUCUACUCUUGGAAUUGAUCCUUCCUUAAGAACACUCUAGAAAGAUGAAAACACAGAGACAAAAGAGGCUCCAUGAUGAAGGAAUAUAUAUGUCGUCUAAGCACUCAUAUCAAAAUUAUAAAAUUAAUAAAAAACGGUGGGUCGUCUGCUUCUCAAUACCACCAAUGGCUGAAUUAAUUUAUUAUUUAAUUAAACACAAGAUUAACAACGCAAUCAAGCAUCACAGGUACAUAAUUUAAAAAAACAAUUAGGUGUUGCUAUAGGAACUGUACACGUGUCCCAUGCUUUUACAUUUCUUGGUCGGCCAUGUGGGGGUCCCAUGGAGACCAUGGUGACCUAUAUCAAAGCCAAAGAGGGGUGAUUAUAAAAAGAGUUGGACGGUUGGAGAUAAGUUAACUAGGUGGAUGAUGUAGUGGCUGACUAAUUAACCUCCAUUACCCGCAAAAGCGGUCGCCUUCUUGCCUGUUGAAAUACUAAGAAUUGAUGCCUACGUGAACUGGGGGGAAGAAUUCGUGUCAAGCUUUGUUUAUAUAUGUGAUUUAAUCAUACAAUAACGAAUUUUCUAUGACUAAAAAAAAAAAAAAAUUCAAUCAUUUAACAACGUAGACCAAUCAAUUCAUAAUGGCUUGUUCUCAUCCAAAUUGUAGGAACCAACUCAACUUCUAGUUCAUUAGAAAAUAUAUAUAUAUACACACAUGAAAAAAAAACCCCUAGCAGUGAGAGAGAGAGAGAGGGUUUUCCUCCAAAUUGGGGGUGUUUGUUCUUCUUUUUGUUGCUGAUGUUUUAGAUUUUUAGUCUUGAUCAUUUUUUGUCAAUAAAGUCCAGAAAUUCUAUUAGUUUUUUGUGUUUUGUUAUCUCAUAAUUCUAGGAACUUAGUUGAGUUUGUUGGGUGUUUUUAGCCUCUUUAAGAGAGUUAUGCUGGUUAGCCACCAAUUUUGUCCUUGAUGUUAUUAGACUAUAUCAGGGGAAAGGUAGAUAGGAG
rnacentral:lncRNA from 1 species